rnacentral:rRNA from 1 species
GGACAUGACUCUCGACAAUGGAUAUCUCGGCUCUCACAUCGAUGAAGAGUGCAGCGAAAUGUGAUACGUGGUGUGAAUUGCAGAAUCCCACGAACCAUCGAGUCUUUGAAUGCAAAUUGUGCCCAAGGCCAGUCGGCUGAGGGCACGUUCACCUGGGCGUCAAG